GACAUAUCCAGAUUCUUGGGCUGAGACUAACUCCCUUCACAGGUUGCCACUGGGCUCCACUGCCCGUGCAGUGGUAGUUGGAAGACCUAGUCGUAUUGCAAAUCAGCAUGCGACUAGGUAGAAGUGAAUUUGAGUAAAUUGCUUCCUACAGGGUUAUGUAGGUGGAACCCGCUGCUGUUUUGGGGUCUUUUUUUUCUGUGUCUGGUUUUAUCAAUCAAGACUGGCUACGGAUGCUCCACGGGUCCUCCACGUCAGCUCCACUGGGUCAACCGCACAGCUGCAACCCCUGCACUCCCUCUGCUCAGCGGAUCAUAUUGGUGCUUCUGGAACCUGGUGGCCUGUCGGGACUGGUACUCCUACGUUUUGCCGGAGUCCUGCUGGAGCAGCCGACGGACUAACGUUUUUUACUUGAUUCUUUUAUUGACCUGUAUACCGCAAAGGGCCUAUUUGCCUGUUCAUUUGUUUUAAUCUUUCAGAGCUGCGGCAAAAGGGACUGGUUCUCAAGUG